GUGGGGAAUCUUCCGCAAUGGACGAAAGUCUGACGGAGCAACGCCGCGUGAGUGAUGAAGGUCUUCGGAUUGUAAAGCUCUGUUAAUCGGGACGAAAGAGCCUAGUGUGAAUAAUGCUAGGAAGUGACGGUACCGGAAUAGAAAGCCACGGCUAACUACGUGCCAGCAGCCGCGGUAAUACGUAGGUGGCAAGCGUUGUCCGGAAUUAUUGGGCGUAAAGCGCGCGCAGGCGGAUCUGCCAGUCUGUCUUAAAAGUUCGGGGCUUAACCCCGUGAUGGGAUGGAAACUACAGAUCUAGAGUAUCGGAGAGGAAAGUGGAAGUCCUAGUGUAGCGGUGAAAUGCGGAGAUAUUAGGAAGAACACCAGUGGCGAAGGCGACUUUCUGGACGAAAACUGACGCUGAGGCGCGAAAGCCAGGGGAGCGAACGGGAUUAGAAACCCCUGUAGUCC
rnacentral:rRNA from 1 species